GCCGUCAGUCGGCGCGUAGGCAGGGUAGGGGUUUACCUUAUGCAAGCGUUACAUACAUUUGGUUAUAUUACUGACAUUACGUAAACGCUGCUGAUUACAAGGCGCGAGAAGGGAGAGAGAAGUGUUACAAAUUGUCGAUAUUCAGGAUAUUCGUCGAUAGCCGGUAUUACGUUCGAGAAGAUUCGCGGUUCUUGAUAAACGAACGAGCCCAUUGGCCAACUCGCAUCCUUAUUUUUGUUUGGCUUUCGUUGGUAAUCAAACAUGAUGUGCGAGAGGAACGGAAUCGCUGACUUUGAAACGUUCACGGCACGUUACGAAACGGGUCUUCUUACCUUGUAGCGUCGCAUUAUACAUAUAGGAGAGGGUCGGUACAGCCAUUCGCGCGCGUAAGAGGUUGGUUACAUGAGCGUGUAAAUAUUUCGCUUACGACGAACGGUUUAUUCGUUGCGUUAUGCGCACCUCUCCCGGUGCCUUAAACCUCCAAUUACGUAAGCACCGCCGUUUGAUGUUUAUGUAACAUCGUACCACGUUACCGACGAAAUCGGUCAUCGUCAGCAUUGAACGAGGAACAACCAUCAGAAAUAAUACCUGCUUCUGCGCUCCGUUCAACGAUCCACUGAUCGUCCGGCUAGCGUCACCUGGUACAACGUACACGUACUAAAGCACCGAACGUAUGAUAACAAGAACUCGCAAUUUUGUCGCACGUACGUACAGACUUUUUGUCUGAGGUUCUGAAAUACCGACGUGCACAAAAAUCGCAGUGUUUCUUGCGCCCUCUGCAUUUUUUACGGUGAACACAAGGCAAAGAUGAUAAAGCUGGCAUAGUGCGGGAGACAGUAAAUAUUUAACGACCACUUAUUUUCGCAUCCUAAUUUCGAGGUUAUUUGGGCGGAAUUAUUUAAGAAAUGAAAAAACUGUCCAAGGCUUUUUACCUUCACCAUACCUGGAAUCGGUAAGACUAGAAAUUGGAGCGUAAAAUAAUCGCGGAUGCAUAUCGAGCAACUAUGUUUUACUAGAACUAAAUAAUUAUGUAAAAACGGACGCACUUAUCUCGACUCGUCUUGUACCAUGGCACGCAAAGCUGUACAGAAGGAGAGGGCGUUGGACACGAACUGAAAUGACAUCAACUUGUUAUUUAUAUAUACAACAUUCGUAAUUAACCUGUUAAUCAGAGAAAGCGGCGAACCACAUUAAGAGAGCACCAACCACGCCUAUGCAUAAGUGUGCAGUGACGGUGAGGCAUACGCUGCUGUGAUGGUUGGAAUCGGUAAGACCAAAGGCCCAAACAUAAAAAAGGUUAGCGACGCAUAAAUAGCCACUACAUAAGCACUGUAAAGGACGUUGCAUUUUACUAUAUGUGCGAUGAAAAUUUCUCUUUCGAACUGUUGCGCCUCGUUCACACAUUUCACCAUCUCUCCAAUUAUACGCUACAACAUGUUUCAAACAUCAAUGCUUCCGACGCGAAUUAAUUGCUGAAGGGACGCGAGGUUGAACUUACUUGCAGCGAGUCGCGCUUCUUCCAACAUAUACAAGUCUGAAUAACUAGUUGCGUGGUGUAUAUCGUUAAGGUAAUACAUUUGAAGAGAGCGUCCAAGUAAAAACUUAUAUCGUCCAAGUACAAAUAAAUCGAAUAUAACGAAGGCAGGAGAAUCAGAAAAGCGUUAAUGACAAUACAGAUUUGUGCAAUUUUGUAACUGCCCCGGCUUCUGUCGCUGUUGUCAGCAGAUGGCCAACAAAAGCUUAAAGCUACACUGAGCCGAGUAAACUGGAUUACAUCUUCCGGUGUUAUUUGUUUCGACAUAAUCUCAACAAACUUUUACAUCUAAUGAGUCAGACUAAACAUGUUUCAAUUCGCACAGUAGGAAGAUAUGUCCAGGUUCUUGGGAGCCAGGUGCAAAUCAAUAAAUGAUACUGAAAAUACGCAGGAACAACUCGUGUUUACUGCAAAGUACGGAGUUCUUGUACUGUUAGAUGCUUCGAUGGUAAGAAUUAUUAAUUGCAUUAUACAUUUGCACGUUUCUGGUUACUAGAGAGGCACAAAGGCACGUUAUUACGUACAAUCGGCAAUAUUCAUGUGGCAGAACCUUCUUCGAAAAUGCAACGUGGCAUAUGUGCACGAUACCAUAUAUUUAGUAUCUUGGACGAUAUGUAUAGCUAAGAGUAAAAUAACAACGAAGUUUUCCAUCUAAACAUCUAGUAGUUGUAUCGACUUAUAUUUCUUUGAGGAUGAGUCUGGAUGAUUUCUCGUGACAUCGUUGUAAAAAACGGGUGAUUUGUGAUUACAAGCGUAGCCAACGCGAAGACAUUUGACGCGGUCGUCUGUCUGUUCAUUACCAUCGAUGGAGGAAGUAAUGGACAACCCGUAACCCUACACAACGAGUAAUUAGAACACUAUCAAAAAGCAUAAUUUCCUUGCCUUCGAACUUAUUACACACUUAUAUCGGAUGUAUGUAAAUACGCAACAAGUAAGGAUGCACGAAAGUAUGUAAAUAUAUAUACUGUCAAAACGAAUGAUAGUACAUAAAUAUCGAUAAUCCAUUCACGAUCAUGAUUGACAUGGGAGAUAUUGAUUUGCCUUACCGAACAAUAAAAACGUAAAUUAAGCUCUGGCAGAAAGCAACCGACAGAAAGUGUCACUGGUUUCUGAUGGACCAACACGGUUCGAAGAUCGUUAGUUACAAUUUCGAGUGCAAAGAACACAAUUUCGUAGCAGAUUGCAUCUCAGAUUACUGCACAUAAAUACUUACGGCAUCUUGUAAAUAAUCAGCUGGCCACGCAUACAUGAAAGUGAGUAAGAGACAGAAAGCACUAGCGUCGAGGAGCUCCACUUUCGUAGUUACUGGUGAAUCCUGUAAAUGUCCUAAUUUAAAUUCUGCGAAGUUCUAUCAUCGAUUCAUUAUACCGUACAGAAAAUAUCAGAAGAUCCACAUACCACUAUUAAUAAAAUCCCACAUAGAGUUAUAGUAAACGUUGUCAUUCCCAACACAUAAAGUAUUAUGAAGCGAAAACAACCAACCACUUCCUCGGCGUACCUAGAUAGGGGGAAACCGUUUAUAACGAACACAAAUGUCUCAGUUAAAUCACACAUGUUUUCUGAAUUUCCACGACUAAACAUUCGAAUCUUACGGCAGCGAACCACAUUAAGAGCGCACCAAACACGCCUAUGCAUAAAUGUGCAGUAACGGCGAGGCACACGCUGCUGUGAUGCAAGUAGAGGAUAAAAUUUACUGGCGUAUAAUUCACUUGAAACGGAUACUCCACUUCCACUAGGAUUGGAAUCGGAUACAUCUUUUCCAACUCGCCUUAUAUCAUGGUUCGCAAAGGGGUACAGAAGGAAGAAGCUUUGGACACGAACUGAAAUUAUAUCAAUUCGUUAUUUAUUUAUUAUUCUUAAUUAACCUGUCAAUCGGAGAAGAUUAGAUGACGACAUGGCAAUCGCUUGAAUAUGAAUAUCCUUAUUUAGUGUUAGGUUUGGGUUAGCGAUAUUUUUAUUUUUAUGUAUUUGUACAAUCGUUAUCAUUAAAGCUGUAAAUUUAAUAGAAUUCUAUGUUAUUUGUUAUAGAUUUCGCACUGACACAUCACUAUGGGAUUCGAUGCCAUGAUAACUUCCUCCGAGCAAAGGAUAGCGUUAAUGACAAUAUUUCUCGCAUCUAAUGGUGAAUUGCAUACAUUUUUAUUCCUCCGAUCACCUAAUCACAUUUUUUUUAGCGAAUUUAUGUGUUUCAUUUAUCAGAUCAUGAUAACGUCUCCUUGCAUAUCGCGUCUUCGAUGUGAUUAAAAUUUUAUAUCGAUAAUAUUCAUUGGUAUAAUUUGAAAAAAAUCAGAAUUUGCUCAAUAUUGAUAUUUGUAAAAGUUGUAAAAAUAAAAAAUAUGAAUAUGAUAUGGCACGAACGUCCAUAGGCUAAUAUUAAUAAGGCCAUGAUAAUAGGACAGAGUAUCUUAUACUUUGGUAAUUAAAGUUGAGAAUUCCAUACCACACAUGCUGUAAUGUAAUAAAUAACAUUUGUGUUCUUUAUAAAUAUAGCAACAGUUUAUUAAUUUCAUUCGUAGUUAAAGUUCUAUGGUUCGUUAGUUACAGUGAUAAAAUAUUACGAUAAUUAUUAAAAUAUAAACACGGUAUUAGAACGGUAUUUUACAAUAUUUUUCCUUCCUAAGAUAUUCAGCUUCGGAAAGGUUAAACUUUUCUCUAUCAGCAUAAAACGUAUUAAAAAAGGAGGAUAGAUUAAAGGAUCAUCGUAACAUGAAGAAAUAGAAGAAGAAUUACAAAAAAACUCGAUACAUUUCGAUAGGAUGUGUUACAGGAAUAUAUCGGUAUUAUUAGUGUUUAAUCAUUAUCUUGCAAACUAUGGGAGGAAAUGUAUUCCAUCGGCUUCGUACGUACGUGUUUCAGUUUAUUUAUUAAAUUAUUGUUUGACACAGGUUAUCGUGUAUGUCGUACAGUGAGAGUUGUGUGUAUGGGCAAUAAUACCUAUCUAUAAUAUAAUAGUAGAAGUAGAAUUAAAGUUAAUCCAUUUAAAUACAAGUGCGACACGCGCGAUCAAAGAGGCGUAAGGAGAGAGAGAGAGAAAGAGAGAGAAAAAG